rnacentral:rRNA from 1 species
GUGGGGAAUUUUGGACAAUGGGCGCAAGCCUGAUCCAGCAAUGCCGCGUGCAGGAUGAAGGCCUUCGGGUUGUAAACUGCUUUUGUACGGAACGAAAAGCCCUGGGUUAAUACCCUGGGGUCAUGACGGUACCGUAAGAAUAAGCACCGGCUAACUACGUGCCAGCAGCCGCGGUAAUACGUAGGGUGCGAGCGUUAAUCGGAAUUACUGGGCGUAAAGCGUGCGCAGGCGGUUUUGUAAGACAGAGGUGAAAUCCCCGGGCUCAACCUGGGAACUGCCUUUGGGACUGCAAGGCUAGAGUACGGCAGAGGGGGAUGGAAUUCCGCGUGUAGCAGUGAAAUGCGUAGAUAUGCGGAGGAACACCGAUGGCGAAGGCAAUCCCCUGGGCCUGUACUGACGCUCAUGCACGAAAGCGUGGGGAGCAAACAGGAUUAGAAACCCGGGUAGUCC